rnacentral:rRNA from 1 species
UACGGAGGGUGCAAGCGUUAAUCGGAAUUACUGGGCGUAAAGCGUGCGCAGGCGGUGAUGUAAGACAGGUGUGAAAUCCCCGGGCUUAACCUGGGAACUGCAUUUGUGACUGCAUCGCUGGAGUGCGGCAGAGGGGGAUGGAAUUCCGCGUGUAGCAGUGAAGUGCGUAGAUAUGCGGAGGAACACCGAUGGCGAAGGCAAUCCCCUGGGCCUGCACUGACGCUCAUGCACGAAAGCGUGGGGAGCAAACAGG